AAACUUUGAGGAUCUAUCAAAGGGGAAGUACAACAGAGAUGUCAGGGUAGGGCAAGGAGUCCCUGCUGUUCCGGUGAUUAACUAUGUGCGCACCGAGAUCAAGAAAGCAGCUGAUGAGAGCCAGUCUAUUCUGGAGAACACACCGGUUGGAAAAGGCAAUGAUGAUGGUUCACUACAAGCAUUCCUCAAGCGUCAGGCCAAGAAGUUAAGGCAGUUAUCGAAUCUUCUCGGUUGUCGUGAUCCCGAAUUUGAUGAACCAUCUGCCUCUAGGUCUGGUACACCAUCAGACCCCUCAUCUCACCAUCAGGGGGAUGAUGUGAGUUCCUCAUAUGCUUAUCUGGAUGAUGAGGGCACGGUCACCCAAGAGGUAUGACUAAUCCUUUAGAUGUGAUUCUCACUU